GCGUUCGCCGAAAGAAUCCAGUAAUUGGAAGCUAUGUACAUAUGGCUCUACAGCUGUACCAGGUUGACUAUAAGUCACAUUUGCUGGAUUUCAAGAUUAUAUGUAAUGAGCCUGCAGAUUUGGUGGCACAGGAAAAGAGGAAUAAUCAAGAUGAAGUCCAGACGCAGGGACAUCACGUCAUGGAAUUCUUUGAAAUGUGUGCAGCUCUAAUCACCGAACUAGCUCGUUAAGAGCUGCACUUCCUAUCAAUAGUCCUGAUGUGCCUAAAACAUUUAUGAUUUGGAUCUCUUACUUGUAACAUCAGUGCAAUGUUGCGAAAUCCAUUUAGAUAUCUAGACAGGAAUGGUAUGUACAUAUAUAUACACAUAUCUCUCAAUAUUCCUUUUUUAUGCAAUUAUAAGUAUACACUUUACUUAUAAAGUUAUAUGUAAAGAUUGUCACCAUUUGUUUUUUCUACAUCUAUAAUGCUGUUUAGCUACUUGCUUUAUUCUGUUUUUAAGGUAUUGCAGUUCUUUAGCUGUAUUUUUCUCUUAGUUUUCAAGUAUUCAGAGCUUAAUAAUUACAAUUAAAAGAUAAACUAGAUUGAUUAUAACUAAACCAUAUGAUUAUGUUUAUGUCCAAAGGGAAGAUUAAAAUUUUGGUUCAGUAAUUAGGUUAACAAGUAUAUAAAAUAAGACAUUUUGGUACACAAAAAUAAAUGCUUGUGAUCCUUUGUUCUGUACUAAUACAAGUAGUUAUAAGAUAACAUAAAUCAUGCACUGCAGUUUUUGCUUGUAGAGAUUUAUAACUAUUAGUUAUUUCAAUUUGUAUUUCUUUUUGUAUCUUUUCAUGCCAAUUGUCAAUUUAUAUUUUAUCACUAAAAAUGUUUAUCAAGAUAUGUUUCUGGUAGAUGCAUUGCAGAUCAUAUUUAUAUAAUGUAAAUAUUAUAAAAUUCUGUAUUUAUAUUAUAUGCUUUACGUACUUCUAAAUUGUAUAAUCAAAUUUUUAUCUCUAUAUUUUUUUUUAAUAAGUACUAUAUGAAUAAUUUUAAAUAUAUACACCAUGAUUAAAUUCAGUUUAAAUAAAGUACCAAAAGGAUAGGCUUAUUACAUAUAAUGAUGUGUCAUAUACUAAUAAGUAUAACAGAUAUGUAACUUGAGCAUAUCAACAAUCUUUUUAAAAUUAAGGCAUAAGUCCUCUUUUCAAAGGGAUGUGGUGUAUCACAACUUUCUGAUUAUGUAAAUAAAAUGUGGUACAGUAUUGUACAUAAAAGCGCA